rnacentral:rRNA from 1 species
CCUACGGGGUGCAGCAGUGAGGAAUAUUGGUCAAUGGACGAGAGUCUGAACCAGCCAAGUAGCGUGAAGGAUGACUGCCCUAUGGGUUGUAAACUUCUUUUAUAUGGGAAUAAAAUGUUCCACGUGUGGGAUUUUGUAUGUACCAUAUGAAUAAGGAUCGGCUAACUCCGUGCCAGCAGCCGCGGUAAUACGGAGGAUCCGAGCGUUAUCCGGAUUUAUUGGGUUUGAAGGGAGCGUAGGUGGAUUGUUAAGUCAGUUGUGAAAGUUUGCGGCUCAACCGUAAAAUUGCAGUUGAAACUGGCAGUCUUGAGUACAGUAGAGGUGGGCGGAAUUCGUGGUGUAGCGGUGAAAUGCUUAGAUAUCACGAAGAACUCCGAUUGCGAAGGCAGUUCACUGGACUGCAACUGACACUGAGGCUCGAAAGUGUGGGUAUCAAACAGGAUUAGAUACCCGGGUAGUC